GCCAGGUGAUGUGGGAUGAGCAGCAGGGAGAGCCCACUUCUGCCACCACAGCUGUUCAUUGGUAUUCAUGGAUACCGCUGUUCAGAUCUGCCACAAGUCAAACCAACGCAGACUUUGUAACAGGAGGCUUUGGUUUUGAUAAAAUAAGAUGGGAGACCAGAUGUGAAUGAGAUUGCUAGACUACUACUUGUCUAAAAACUGUAUUGUUGGCUUUUUUCACUUUCUCUGAUCUCUCCCAUAGUGAGAGAUUGAGUUGUCUGCUAGGGCUUGCAGAUGCUUUCUUCUUUGCCCAGCAUUGCCUUUGCUUGUUGUGUAUGUCUUUGCGGCUCGCUCCUCAUGGUAGGUGUGCUCUGGCUGUCUUCCAGCAACCUGAUCUUCCGCGGGGCACCAUCAGGGGACAGCAGGCUCCUGAUGCUCAUGGAAGCUGCUUGUCACAGUGAAUGCUUUGCUGGAAUCGAAUGUGGGUGAAAUAUUUACCAACACUGUCCUGUAGCCCAGUUGAUCAACCAGACUCAUAACCUGCCCUUCUUCCCCUCUCCCAAGCUCUGCAAGCCUGGCCAAUAAACAAUGCAGAUUCACGAUGUACACCACAGCCUCCAGCCCGUAAUGAUGAGCGGCACAGGUCUGACAGGUAGCCAGUAACAUUAACUGGAUGAGGCCAUUGUGGUUGUGUUGCCUCCUGCUUUUUCCACCAGCAGAAAGAUGGUAUGUACAUCCCUAUCGGUCUGAUUGUAAUGCAGAUCAUCUAUAUCCUUGAACAUUAUCUGAGAGCAUGGUCUAACUCUGUACUGGGCAAACAAAGACUAUUGUGGCAUAUCUGGGAUGUGGCUGCGAGGGCUGUCAGCUGUAACACAUGUGUAGAUAAAACCGAGCCAUCCUUCCCUGCAGCAGUGGAGUUUUGGAGCCAGUGAUCUAGGAGUCCGUCCUCUCCCAGUCUGUGUUGCUGGUAAGAAGCAGCCUGUAGCAGGAACAAAAGUAUGUGGGUGUUGCCAAAAAGACAGAUGGAAAGUUCCUGAGUGCUUGAGCAAAUAUGGCCAAGCAAUGUCUGAUAACAGGUAAAGCAGCACUCCUGUGUGGCCCUCUAUCAAAGACUCAAACGUCAGGCAUUUCUCCUUCCCAGAGAAAGCAUGGGGCCGGGGGUUAUGCACCUGGGGGAGAUAAAGUGUGUGUGCUGCUGAGAAUGAAGGUAAAAUAUAACACAGAAAUCUGUAAGUGUUAUCAAGAGCCAAAGCUGUUUGGGUCACAGGCUGCGUUUUCUUGGACAGAGCCCCUGCCUCUGGCCGUGCAGCAUCAGUUUCCCUGUGCAAUUGCAACACACGUAUGUUUGUCCACCAUGGGAGGAACGCACAGGUGCAGAGUAUUCCUUUGUACUCAUUUGCAGUAACUCACAUGUGUUUGGGUACACGCACAAAUGCAGAUCAGGCUGAGUAUCUUUGCUCUCAGCACUGCUCUAAAAAAAGCAUUUCUUACUUAUCAAACCGGGCUGCAUUCUUACUUAGGAACUUCUACUGCAAAAGUGCAGCUGGUCAGAAAUCUGGAUUUCAUGGGGGACGUUCCUGUGCUUUCCAGCUUCUGUUAUACGCUGGGGCAGGGAUGUUUCUAGCAUCGAAAGUUCUAAAGAGUUUUAAUUGAAGGACAUUUUUGUUUCAGUGUUAAGAUUCAGUUCAGUCCUCUAACCUGCUGUUCUUUCCAGAGAUGUCGCAAUAAAGAGCCUUCGUGCUGAGCAACAAACCCCCCGAGACCCUGCGGAGGGUUUGGCUUAGUGCUGGUUUGUGUUAAAGCACAAUCAGUUCAUGUUAAGCUUUCUAAUGAGAAAACGAGGAGGACAAAGAUUGGGUUGCAAAGCUGCUGGUGUGGUUGCCAAGUGGGGGAUAGGCAGCACCUCCAGAUUUCUCAGGAGAUUUUACUGCAGUGCUGGCAGCAGUGAGGGAAGAUCCAAAUAAGCAGCAGAAAGCAGUGCAAGAAAGUGUGCAAUUCUCACCAUGUGGGAUGCUUCCCCAGAUUCUGGACCCAAGAGUAGCAAACUUGAAGAGUUCUCCCGGGCAACGUUUAAGAUCCCAACCCAGAGAGCCUUUUCGGUUGGUGACCCUGCUGAUGGCAGCAAUGUUACACUUGAUAUCCAGACAUUGGUCUCUGCAGAAAGAGUGUUACAAACAGCAACGUGUCUGGUACAGAUGGGGAAAACCCUUCUGAGCCAUGGAGUGAAUUUACUGCGCUUUCACUGUGACACAGAGCUGGAAAUACUUCAGGACUUGGCACCUUAUGGAAGAAGUCUGAAAACCUGAAUCUCCAUCUUGUGUUCAGACAAAAGUCUCCAGUUUCUCUGUGAGAUCAGGAGGCUAUGGCCACUGCAGAAUUGGGAUGCUCCCAUAGUGUUGUGCUAUUUUAGCUAUUAUGGCUGCUUUAAUUCAUGCUUCGGUGGUUGUUUUUAGGUUUUUAUUUUUUUCCCCAAAACCUUAAACAAAACAAAACGACUGCCCCAAUCUGAUCCAGCUCACCUGUGCUUGACCUUUCUGUCUCCACCACGCCAUGCAGCUGGUCCUGCAGUUCAUUUGUGCUUUUUUUGUUGGUGCCACUUUUGCUCUCUUUCAAAAGAGAUGCGGAGAGGCCACAUCAAGCUACAUACACCCACACCCAUGCCAGAAUUGCAGAACCCUACAGCCAAGUCUGCUGCUUUCAGUAAAAGGGGCAGGGCUUUUAGAUACCUCAUAGAAGUGGAUUAAGACUCUAACGGCUUAAAAAGUACACAAAUAUUCAGAAAUAUUUGUGGUGCUCAUGAGUAAUGUUAUUAGCUUGAAGAUUACAGUGCUUAAUGUACAACAGGAUUUGAGGAUUUAAUAGUAAAGAUCCAGAGUAAUGUGGCAGAUGUCUUGCAUUAGAGUACACUUAAGUGUGUAUCAGAGUAGAAAAUAUUUUCUAUUUUAUUACAUUACAUAACAUAAGGGAAAGGUUUAAAAACAAGUUGUAUUAAUAGAUACGCUGCAUUUCUUCCUUAUUUGUGCUGGUGGAUAGCUAAACUUCUGACUUCCUUUGUUUUUGACGGUUACAUCAUGCAUGAUGGGUUUACCAAGAGAAUUAAUAAAAUGCUUCAGCUUAUUUUUCAUUCAAGAUCAUGAUGACGGAGCUCUGUCUGGUAAGCUGCUGAAGGUGCUUAACUUACUCCUCCCUUGUUUCUCUGUUGGCUGCACUGCCUGCUCCUGCAGACUCCAAAUAGAGCAUGAGCCUGCCUUGGGUGAAAGAUCCAUCCUGUCAGAUAAAGCCCCUCAAGGCUGUUCCCCAUAUAGCUCAGCUGCUACUGGCUGGGAAGGAGUGGAAGCAGAGAGCAAAGUAUGGCAGUAUAGACAGAUGUGAUGAUGGGGCAAAACUUUCAUGUAUGAGUAUUGUGCUCCUUUCCUUUUACAAGGCAUGUAGCAACCUUAGCAUGCAGGAGCUGUUAGGUAUAUCUCCUUCAGAGGUGCUUAAUCAGAUGCUAUACCUAUACAAAACACUUUGUAAUUCACGGAUCUCAUGCUGAGUUUAAUAAUAGGACAAGAAACUCUUCUGUUAUAUUUAUAGAUGAAUAAAUAAGCCGUUAUCUGUGGCUUAUUUUCCUCUAUACCAUGACAUGCCUCGUUUCUUAACUGAUAGAAAACUAGAAUCAAACACAUCUCUAUUGAGCAAGCUGUAAAUUGAGGCUGUGAGUUGCUUUAUUCAUAAAAUGUGAAGAGUCUUUUGUGCUCUCACUGGUCUCCAACAUCCUUUUUCCCCAUGUGGAUGAGGCUGGAUCCAGGUGUGGGAUUUGCAUAGGCUGCAUCCAAACCAGGGAAGUGAACACUGUCUCUGCUGUUGCCUGGAGUGCAGCUGAGCAUUGCAGCCACUCUGCGCCAACUUGACAAGCCACUUAGCUUUCUAUUCAGUCUUCUCAUCUACACAAAGUUGUUAAUACUCCUCUGAACAUUUUCGAGAUGAAGGUCCAGCAGUAAACUCAGGCUUACUCAGCAGCAGGGGCAGGGGCAGGAAGAUUACUGUCUGUGCUUGUUUUAUUUAUCUUUCCCCUCUCUCUGCCUAUGAAAGGUAUUGCUGAGUGCACGGAAUCCCUGGCUGUCACAGUCUCAAAUGCAUCCUGGUAUAACACAUUGUACAUGCUGCUCUAGUGCAAUCAGAUGGUUUUUUGUUUUCCUUUGGAUUCUGAUAUAAUUAGAUGCACAUGAAAAGAGAAAAUACUUUAAAAUGUUUACGUUUUUAUGCAUCUCUGAUAUUCUUCACAAACACAUCAAGUCCGAAUGAACCCACGGUCCACUGCUGAGACAUCACUUACUUGUUAGAAGUCACGUUUGUGUUCUGCUGAACUGUGAUAUUUACAAACGUUUACACUGUUGGGCCUUUAGGCACAAUGAGGGGAGAAAAGUGCCCAGGAAAGCAGUGACCACUGAAAAGUUGCUUUCCUUCCUGCUUAUCGGUUAGAGUGCUGUUGUCUGGUCUUCCAUGCAAGAGAAGUACUUGUCUUGGAAGUUUACAUCCAUACAUUUUUUAAACGCAGAAGUAUCUAUCCUGCUUAGCUUUGUUUUGAGGGAAGGAUAUUCUGUAAGAGCAUAAAUGAAAGGAAUAGAGAUACUUCGUCAGUAAUAGAGCUACUUACAUUUAGACUCAGAAGUGAGGAAGAUAACUAACCCGACACCUUAUUUUACUCCCAGAAUUUGACUGUGAAGCUCUUCUCCAAAAACACACUGCUAAUCAGCACUUUAUCUCUCACUGAAAUAUGAGAAGAGCUGGGAUAUUACACUACGUUUCACUGAAUAUCUUUUUUUUUCACCACUGGGAAAAGAAAAGGAAACAAAAAUUGGCAGAACUUGGACUUCCUUAUGUGAGUCUUCAGGGCAUGAAAGAGCUGCACUGUAAGCUUGGAAUCAGAAAGUGGUGAGCAAGAAGCUUAAGAGAAACUAGCAAGAUCCAUGACAACUGCUAUGAACAGUGUUGGAGGAGAAAUCCUUUGAAUAACUUAGUUACAAAGUCUUUCAGUCUGACCAACUUGUAGUCCUCCGAGUCCUAUUUGUCACUGCAAUUCACUGCUUGCUGUGAUUCUGUAUGUUUUAAAUUUUAUCACUCCAGUAUUCCUGAAGCAUCCUUUACUGCAGCAAGCUAUUUAUUCUCCCACUUUCAGAAUAUGAGAGAUGUUUCUGUGGCUGCUUCACUCCCAAUUCUUAUGCCUCCUUAUACCUGCAUGGUGCAGUGACCACAAAUGGUGGUCAAUUCCAAAUUCCAAAUUGUGAACUGCAGCUCGAUUUGGGUGGAUAUUACUUAUUUUCUAACACGUUCACUUCUAUAUAGCAAUCAGCAAAAUACCUGAGGCGACAGCUUUGAGCAUCUUUCCCUUUCAUUUCCUCACACCUUGGUCUCCUCCUCGGUUGCGGUGACAGAACUGUGAGGGCAGACAGGAUAAACUGGACUGGGGAGAUAACUGAAGCUAAAAAUAAGUUAUUGACCAAUUCUUUUUGGAUUUGCUGGGCUGUCUUCAUCCUGGACUGGCUCCCCAGCCUUACCUGCUGCACAACAAGCAGCUGAGCUGACUUAUGGGUGAGGAUAAACCCUGGGGACAGGGAGUCUGGUGCCAAAUUCUGCUUGUCAGGCGGUGCCCUGAGGGUGCCGUUAGUUUAACUGAGCCACUUCAGUGGUUCAUUGCUGUGGUUGUGGUCUGUUUUACUCCUCCCUACAAUGAAAAAGAAAAAAGCUAAUAGGUUUUAGCGGGUAGAAGAGUGGAAUUGUCUGCAUCAGAUGAAUGUGUAGAGCAAGGACUGAGGUUGGGAGCAGAAAUGAAAGAACAGAACCAUGCCUUUUGGUGGCAGUGAGCAAAGUUACUUGGUCUGAAGCUACGAAGAAACCUGUCUUUUGGUGCUUAUUACUCAUCUCAUUUAAAUCUACUGGUUGUGAGCUUGGCGUUCACAGUCUUCUGUUUCCCUAUAAUCUGUUUAUUUUUCCUUAUAUUCUAGAGAACCUAGCAAACUAGUGAAAGCGUGUGGUUCUUAGUUAUAGCAAGGUGACUGAGUGGAUACUUCUCCAUCUAGCACUGCUUCAAAGCACAAACAGAAAACAGCAAUCCUGGGAUGUUUGUGUGCUACAGCACUGCCAGCCAUGGAGCCCACAAUAAUGUGUUUGUACUGACAUUAGCUGCUUCUACUAAGAUGUCCCAAGCUAGCUGUUGGUGUUCAGAUAACUGACUAUUUAACUUGUUUUGCUGUUAUGCUGAGCUUGAUCCUGCUGCAGUUAUGCUGUACUUGAUACCAGAGAUAGAUCAAGGUUAGCUCUUGUAUGUUAUCAUCACAGCAGUGGCAGUAGACGCUCUAAGAGUCUUACCAACUUUUACAUGGAUAAACCCUGACUUAGAAUCAUAGAAUCGUAGACCCCUUAGAGUUGGAAGGGAUCUUUAAAGGUCACCUAGUCCAACUCCCCUGCAAUGAACAGGAGCACCACAGCUAGAUCAGGUUGCCCAGGGCCUGAUCCAGCCCUGCCUUGGAAGUCUGAAGGGAUGGUGGCAUCCACCACAUCACAGGGCAACCUGUUCCAGUGCCUCACCACCCUCACUGCAAAAAACUUUUUCCUUAUAUCCAAAGUGAUAUAAAACGAUCCAAAGUGACUUGUUUGAGCAAAAGGAGGAGGAAAAUUUUAAACUGUGAUUAUUGCGUUUGGUACUAUCAAAAUCAAAGUGGAGAGGUUGGCUACCUUGACUUCAGUUUUUCCAUUUAACUACAACACGUAAAGAAUGAAUAUAGUGCAUAUUUGAAAGGCAGAACUCUUUUGUUGUUGCUUUUCAUGUUGUUGUUUUGUUUGUUUUCUAAUGAUUUUCAUGAAUAAUAGGAACUUCCUGGGUUGUGUUCCCAUCCUAUUUAGCUGAAAAAUCAAAGAGCAAUAUUUAGAAACUUAUCUUCAUAUUUUAUCAUUGCUAUUUUUUCCCCCUUGACAUGGAAAAAAUAUAUGGAUCCUACUCUCGAUAUGCUGCUGAUAGAUUGUGGAGCUUCAGUGUAUUUGCUAUACAUGCAGGUAAAACUGAAAGGCCUUCAGAAUUUUGAAACCUGAAUUCCACACAAAUUUCUUCCUCUAUAAAGUUCUUGAAAUGUUUGGUGUGAUUACAUUUAUAUCAAAUAUGUUCAUAAAGAGCUGUUGUUCACUUUUUUGUCACUGUUUUCUACGUGGGGGUAUAGCUACUGAUUUAUUUUUGUUGUAUUUUAUUUUAUUUGCAAACUCAUGUAGUAUCUCACUUUUUUUGUGCAUGGAAAAAAUUGUGCAUGCACAGAAAAGACAUAGUUGGGCAUCCAAUUUAUUUUCAGGUCUCUGUAUGUAAGCAGUCUUCUGUUGUAUUACAACACCUGAAUUCUGAGCUGUAGGUACAUUAGGUUGUUGUAGCUUUGGGAACUAUUAAUGCAGGAAGAAAGAACAGCGUAGAGCAAACUAGUCUCAAAAUCAAAGCAGGGGCUUGGGGAAAAAGCUUUUUUCAUAUGUCUUUUCCUGUGCAUGUGAAAAGGAAUGUAUUUUCUAAUACAUUGACUAUUUCUGCUAUUAAUAUAUAUAUAUAUAUAUAUAUGUAUAUAUAAAUCUUUUCAGGUAGUCCAGAAGGGCAGAUGCAAGACCUUGAGUUUCUACAGACUACAUACAAACAAAACAAAGGUAAAAUGGUAUAUUAAAAAGGUAACACGGUAUCUUAUAAGCAAUAUAAACAGACUAAAAGAGUGGAUUUUGAAGCAAUGAUGCCAAAGAUUGUGACUGAAAACACAGCAUAGUUUUGUGGACUGGUUUGAGCUGCAGGCCCAGGUCUCCCCUUUCCUGGUUACAUAUUGAUCUACCAAACAGAAAAGUAGGUUUUAAUCUCUACUAUCAUUUUAAAACAUCCCAAAGGAAUAACUUGGAUCCCAAGGGUUAGCAAGAAGUUUGACUGUGAAGCAUGGCCUUCCUCUUGCCAGAACUAGAUGUUCUAGUUUGGUACAAGUUUAGGAAAUGAAAGUGAACUUCAAACUGCUGGAAGAGCCAUUCACAAUAUUACCUACUGGCUAGUUUUAUUUCUUCCCCUCACCAUGGCUGAUGAGCAUUCAAAAGACCCAGCUCAUCAUAUCCAGGUCCAAAAAAAUAAACAAAAAGCCCUCACCUUUCUAAGUCAAGACUGAUUGCUCUAUUGUCUGAAUCAAGCAUGGCCAUAUUGGAGUGGAUACGUACGGCUCUAUUCCUGUGUUUGUGACCAUCCAGAAGUAGACAGCUCAGCUGACAUCUAUGCUGGCAAUAAUGAGAUUAACUGCUGCAUAAAACUGCCUACGAACCAAACCACAGAGGUCAGCUUUGGAAUUAACACCUUGUGGAGCUGCCAGGUUGCUUCUCUUUGUUUUUUCAGGGCGCUACAGAGGAUGGAGAAGACAACACUCCAGAGUUCAGAUUUGAUUACAAUGAUUCAGGCACUUGGGAGUGGAUAGCUUUGUACACAAAACAGGUUAGUCCUUAGUGCUUUCAGGAAAGGAUCAGAGUAAAAUGUAAUUUAUAGCCAUAGGGGAUCUUCAAAAGUGAUUAGUCCAUCUCCAGCCAAGCGCAGCAGAUAUGCUUUCAAGCAGGUUAGCCUAGGGACUAUUACCUAAGGAACCAUAUUUGAGCUUCUUUAUUCAUAGAAUCAUAGAAUCACUAAGGUUGGAAAAGACCCACAGGAUCAUCCAGUCCAACCAUCCGCCCUUCAUCAGUGGUUCUCGCUAAACCAUGUUCCUUAACACAACAUCCAAAAUUAUUCUCUAUGGCAAGAGAAUAACACUCAACAGAGAGCAUGGGAAGGAGCACGGGUGUACUAUUUACUUACUGGACUCGGUAUCCAGCAGAUUCAUUAGCUGGUCGGGCAUGUCUAAAACCAAAGGCUCUUAUCCUCUACAACGAAUCCUGUUGUUCAAAUGUGCUAUAUUAACACAAGCUGUAGUUAAUAGAGGGUGAAUAAUAACAGAGGGUUAAUAACUGGUACAAAGGGUGUACAUAUGUAACAUCAUAGUGUUUUCUUAUAAAACAUAUACAUAUUCUUUAAGUGGGUUUUUAUAGGGUGACAUUCCUCCUUGAUGUUGUGUGGGAGGAGCACGUACAGCUGAGCUCACAAUGAAAGCAACUGAAGGAGGCCCAGACAUGGAGAGCACAUGUAUAUUUAGGUGCCUGAAUUUAUAUUUCAAGGAAACAAAACUGCUACUGCUAUAAUUCUUUUCAGAGUGCUGAGUCAAGUCCCACCGAGGAAAACGUUCUUGUAUGUCCACACAUUUCAGUACAGAAUGACUUGACUGUAUACCUUGCCUCUGUUCUACGGGAAUUAGUAUUUGUUCUGAAUGUUAAAGGUGGUUGGACACUGCAGUUUUAAUGUUGUUUUGCAUUCUUUGACUUUCAUUCUCGUUGCAUAUAAUAAAGGCCACAUAGGGCACAAUUUUUUAUGUUCUACUUUGCCCUGUUGUAUCCGUAUCUGGAUUUCAGAUCUUCACCAUUUCACUUGCUUGCUCCAUCUGCUGCAGUGUUAGGCCAAUUUGAGAUCUGACAUUCAUGCGGAGAUAUGUUUUGGUUUUAAAUAGAAGUUCUAAUUAAACAAAAAAUCUGAUUUAUAGCUAAAAUAUUUCUGUAGUCUUAUGUGUAGGCUUCGUGUGGGCUAAGAAUCUAAAUAUAUAUAGAUAGUUGCUAUUUUUUCCAAUCUCUAGCAUUAAAAAGGUCUUUCUUUAAGCCUGUGACAUCCAAAGACUUUGAAUGUUUGCUCUCUGAAAAUAUAUGAGAGAAAAAAAGGAAAGAAAACUGUGAUCUCCCAGAACCAUGCUGAUCAGUGAGCAAUGAGGCAAAGAACAACAUGUUACUUCAUAGCUUUAAACUAUAAGCAAAGUAGAAGAAAAGAACAAUAACUUUUGGGAAAGUACUGAUCUUCUCUGUUCUAUGCUUAUUUGUAAUGGAAGUUCAGUAAAUCUUUAAUUACGAAGGUGAAUGUUCAUUUAAUAUUCAGAUGUUGAUGCUACUUGGGUGGCUCUAAUUAUCAACAAAAUUAUGA